CGUUUUUUGUUUAAAAUAUAAAAUUGGGCCUGCUCUAUGAUUUAUUAAAUGGCUGCAGUAUAUUGACUGUACUAAGGUAGCAUAAUCAUUAGUUUUUUAAAUGGAAACUGGAAUGAAGGGUUUGACAAAAUAAAAGCUUUUUUAUUUUUAUUAUUAAAAUUUUAUUUUUAAGUUAAAAAGCUUAAAUAUUCAUAAGGGACGAGAAGACCCUAUAGAGUUUAAUUAUUAAUUUAUUGAAAAGUAUUGGUUGUUUAAAUUUUAGUAUUAAAGUAAUUUGGUUGGGGUGAUUAAUAAAUUUGAUAAACUUUUUUUUGUAAUAACAUUUAUUUAUGAAUUUUUGAUCCAUUUGAUUGAUUAAAAGAUUAAAUUACCUUAGGGAUAACAGCGUAAUAGUACUUUAGAGUUCAAAUUAAAAGUAUUGUUUGCGACCUCGAUGUUGGAUUAAAUUUUAUUUUUGGUGUAGAAGUUAAAAUAUUUAGUCUGUUCGACUAUUAAAAAUUUACAUGAUCUGAGUUUAAACCGGUGUGAGCCAGGUUGGUUUCUAUCUUUAUACAAAUUUAAUAAUUUAGUACGAAAGGACCAAUUAUUAGUAAUAUUUAUUUUGUUUAGAAUA
rnacentral:rRNA from 1 species